CGAAAACGAGAGAUUUAAGCAAGUCUGGCAAACAAAGAUAACCAAACGCUACAAGAACAAUCUGUAAUGAUAACAUGUGCUCUCAGUUUAUCGAUGAAGCCCUGCAAACAUCAGUUCGAUGUAUACGAGGAACCUCCCUGGCAGAUAGUUCAGGCAACGGGGAAGAAUCUAGUUCAUCAGGGGCCGCUGACAAACCUCAUCAUACAGCCCUUGACAAAAAUAUUCACAAAGUGGGUUGUUGCUUUUGGACUCACGGACCUCCUCCUGGCAAGAAGACAACUAUUCCUAGAGGCCUUGGAGCACGCUUUUUUCUCCGGGGUAGAAAGAUCAUUAAUCGAGAGCACCGCUGACAUGAUGUUCUUAAAUUUCAAAAACUCGAUGAAAACUAACCACUCGUCAACAGUGCAAAUAGGAAAGACAAAAAUAUGAUGUCGCGGACAGUCUUGAGAAUGAGAAAUUAUUGUAAUACAGAGGGUAAAUAAACAUAAAGCCUGGA
rnacentral:misc_RNA from 1 species